rnacentral:rRNA from 1 species
AAUACUCGUAAUCGACCGAUAGUGAACCAGUACCGUGAGGGAAAGGCGAAAAGAACCCCGGGAGGGGAGUGAAAUAGAUCCUGAAACCGCAUGCUUACAAAAAGUAGGAGCCCGCAAGGGUGACUGCGUACCUUUUGUAUAAUGGGUCAGCGACUUACAUUCAGUGGCAAGGUUAACCGAAUAGGGAAGCCGUAGAGAAAUCGAGUCCGAAUAGGGCGAAUCAGUCGCUGGGUGUAGACCCGAAACCAAGUGAUCUAUCCAUGGCCAGGAUGAAGGUGCCGUAACAGGUACUGGAGGUCCGAACCCACUAGUGUUGCAAAACUAGGGGAUGAGCUGUGGAUAGGGGUGAAAGGCUAAACAAACUUGGAAAUAGCUGGUUCUCUCCGAAAACUAUUUAGGUAGUGCCUCAAGUAUUACCUGCGGGGGUAGAGCACUGUUUAGGCUAGGGGGUCAUGGCGACUUACCAAACCUAUGCAAACUCCGAAUACCGCAGAGUACAGCUUGGGAGACAGAGCACCGGGUGCUAACGUCCGGACUCAAGAGGGAAACAACCCAGACCGCCAGCUAAGGUCCCUAAAAUUGGCUAAGUGGGAAACGAAGUGGGAAGGCUAAAACAGUCAGGAUGUUGGCUUAGAAGCAGCCAUCAUUUAAAGAAAGCGUAAUAGCUCACUGAUCGAGUCGUCCUGCGCGGAAGAUGUAACGGGGCUAAGCCAGUUACCGAAGCUGCGGAUUUGCAAUUUAUUGCAAGUGGUAGGAGAGCGUUCUGUAGGCCUGUGAAGGUGUCUGGUAACGGAUGCUGGAGGUAUCAGAAGUGCGAAUGCUGACAUGAGUAGCGUUAAAGGGGGUGAAAAGCCCCCUCGCCGUAAGCGCAAGGUUUUCUACGCAACGUUCAUCGGCGUAGAGUGAGUCGGCCCCUAAGGCGAGGCAGAGAUGCGUAGCUGAUGGGAAACAGGUCAAUAUUCCUGUACCGAUCAAUAGUGCGAUGUGGGGACGGAGAAGGUUAGCUCAGCCAACUGUUGGAUAUGUUGGUUCAAGCCUGUAGUCGUGCUCGGUAGGCAAAUCCGCCGGGCUUAGAUGAGGGGUGAUAACGAGUCUGCUUGCAGACGAAGUGAGUGAUACCCUGCUUCCAGGAAA